rnacentral:rRNA from 1 species
AGAUUGAACGCUGGCGGCAUGCCUUACACAUGCAAGUCGAACGGCAGCACGGGAGCAAUCCUGGUGGCGAGUGGCGAACGGGUGAGUAAUACAUCGGAACGUGCCCAAUCGUGGGGGAUAACGCAGCGAAAGCUGUGCUAAUACCGCAUAAGAUCUACGGAUGAAAGCAGGGGAUCGCAAGACCUUGCGCGAAUGGAGCGGCCGAUGGCAGAUUAGGUAGUUGGUGAGGUAAAGGCUCACCAAGCCUUCGAUCUGUAGCUGGUCUGAGAGGACGACCAGCCACACUGGGAACUGAGACACGGGCCCAGACCUCCGUACGGGAGCGAGC